AUGAACGCUAGCUACAGGCUUAACACAUGCAAGUCGCGGGGCAGCAUGGGGGUUGCUUGCAACCCCUGAUGGCGACCGGCGCACGGGUGAGUAACGCGUAUCCAACCUGCCCUUCACCACGGGAUAACCCGGCGAAAGUCGGACUAAUACCGUAUGUUGUCCAUUGACGGCAUCCGAUUUGGACGAAAGGCUUGGCGGUGGAAGGAUGGGGAUGCGUCCGAUUAGCUUGACGGCGGGGUAACGGCCCACCGUGGCUACGAUCGGUAGGGGUUCUGAGAGGAAGGUCCCCCACACUGGAACUGAGACACGGUCCAGACUCCUACGGGAGGCAGCAGUGAGGAAUAUUGGUCAAUGGGCGUAAGCCUGAACCAGCCAAGUAGCGUGCAGGAUGACGGCCCUAUGGGUUGUAAACUGCUUUUAUGCGGGGAUAAAGUGGCCCACGUGUGGGCUUUUGCAGGUACCGCAUGAAUAAGGACCGGCUAAUUCCGUG
rnacentral:rRNA from 1 species